rnacentral:rRNA from 1 species
UACGUAGGGGGGCAAGCGUUGUCCGGAAUUAUUGGGCGUAAAGCGCGUGUAGGCGGCCAGAUAAGUCCGCUGUGAAAUCUCGAGGCUCAACUUCGAGCUGUCGGUGGAAACUGUCUGGCUAGAGUCCGGAAGAGGAGAAUGGAAUUCCUGGUGUAGCGGUGAAAUGCGCAGAUAUCAGGAAGAACACCCGUGGCGAAGGCGGUUCUCUGGAACGGUACUGACGCUGAGACGCGAAAGCGUGGGGAGCGAACAGG